UACAGAGGGUGCAGCGUUGUUCGGAUUUACUGGGCGUAAAGCGUACGCAGACGGACCGUCAAGUCAGGCGUGAAAGCCCCGGGCUCAACCCGGGAAUAGCGCUUGAGACUGGGGGGCUUGAGUUCGGGAGAGGAGAGUGGAAUUCCCAGUGUAGAGGUGAAAUUCGUAGAUAUGGGAGGAACACCGUGUGCGAAAGGCGGCUC
rnacentral:rRNA from 1 species